rnacentral:lncRNA from 1 species
AUGGUGGCCCCCGCCCUCCACCCCCCGCCUCGGCUCCUCCCCCUCGGCCUCCUGCCGCCGCCACCAGGACACUCGAGUCCGCCUCCCCCACCCCGCCCGCUCAGAGCGCUCCUCCCCUCCCCACGCGGCGGCGGGGAGGGGGGGUACGGCGGCACCGCCAGUCACCGCCGCGCCUGUCAAACCCGGGCCGGCUAUUUAUACCCCGCGGGGCCCCGCCGCCCUCGACCCACACCAGCCCGCCCAACAUGCUUCCGUGGCCGUCUCGAAUCUCGCCCGCCCUGUAGCCCCCCAACUUCUCAAACCCGCCUUCUCAGCUCACAUCUUUCAGAGCGACCACAUGGAGAGAAAGAAUGGGAGACUGUCAGACAGCAGCAUCUUGAAAUAACCUUUCCCAUCAAUGAGAUGCAGAGGUGUCAGCCAGAUAGAUCUCUGUUGACCCAGGUUCAACCAGAAGGCAAUGGCACCCCACUCCAGUACUCUUGCCUGGAAAAUCCCAUGGACCAAGGAGCCUGGUGGGCUGCAGUCCAUGGGGUCACGAAGAGUCGGACACAACUGAGCGACUUCCCUUUCACUCUUUACUUUCAUGCAUUGGAGAAGGAAAUGGCGACCCACUCCAGUGUUCUUGCCUGGAGAAUCCCAGGGACGGGGGAGCCUGGUGGGCUGCCGCCUGUGGGGUCCUGCAGAGUCGGACACCACUGAAGCGACUUAGCAGCAGCAGCAGCAGAGAAGUGAAAUCCUUCCGUCAAUAAUUUACCCAAAAUAUUUGAAAAGGAAUGUUCCAGUGUGGACAAAAAAACAGUAUAGUACUUUUCCUUCUAGGAUAGAACUUAAUAAAAUUUACAGAAAUACCUCCUUGUUAAUUUUU